ACACAAAUUAACUCAUAUAUACUUGGGAUUGGCCAAGAGUUUCUACGAGCUGCCGUAAACAGCUCGCUAUGAGGGAUAAUAUAA
rnacentral:ncRNA from 1 species